UCACAAUACAUACACUCACACACUCAUACACAGCCCAACAGCCCAUACAUCACAAUACAUACACUCAUACACUCAUACACAGCCCAACCGCCCAUACAUCACAAUACAUACACUCACACACACAUACACAGCCCAACAGCCCAUACAUCACAAUACAUACACUCAUACACUCAUACACAGCCCAACCGCCCAUACAUCACAAUACAUACACUCACACACUCAUACACAGCCCAACAACCCAUACAUCAC